GACGAACGCUGGCGGCGUGCUUAGCACAUGCAAGUCGAACGGUAAGGCUCCAGCUUGCUGGGGUACACGAGUGGCGAACGGGUGAGUAACACGUGGGUGACCUGCCCUGCACUUCGGGAUAAGCCUGGGAAACUGGGUCUAAUACCGGAUAGGACCGCACCGUGAGGGUGUGGUGGAAAGUUUUUUCGGUGUGGGAUGGGCCCGCGGCCUAUCAGCUUGUUGGUGGGGUAAUGGCCUACCAAGGCGGCGACGGGUAGCCGGCCUGAGAGGGUGGACGGCCACAUUGGGACUGAGACACGGCCCAGACUCCUACGGGAGGCAGCAGUGGGGAAUAUUGCACAAUGGGCGGAAGCCUGAUGCAGCGACGCCGCGUGGGGGAUGACGGCCUUCGGGUUGUAAACUCCUUUCACCAUCGACGAAGGGUUUCUGACGGUAGAUGGAGAAGAAGCACCGGCUAACUACGUGCCAGCAGCCGCGGUAAUACGUAGGGUGCGAGCGUUGUCCGGAAUUACUGGGCGUAAAGAGCUCGUAGGUGGUUUGUCGCGUCGUCUGUGAAAUUCCGGGGCUUAACUCCGGGCGUGCAGGCGAUACGGGCAUAACUUGAGUACUGUAGGGGAGACUGGAAUUCCUGGUGUAGCGGUGAAAUGCGCAGAUAUCAGGAGGAACACCGGUGGCGAAGGCGGGUCUCUGGGCAGUAACUGACGCUGAGGAGCGAAAGCAUGGGGAGCGAACAGGAUUAGAUACCCUGGUAGUCCAUGCCGUAAACGGUGGGCGCUAGGUGUGGGUUUCCUUCCACGGGAUCCGUGCCGUAGCUAACGCAUUAAGCGCCCCGCCUGGGGAGUACGGCCGCAAGGCUAAAACUCAAAGGAAUUGACGGGGGCCCGCACAAGCGGCGGAGCAUGUGGAUUAAUUCGAUGCAACGCGAAGAACCUUACCUGGGCUUGACAUAUACAGGAUCGCGCCAGAGAUGGUGUUUCCCUUGUGGCUUGUAUACAGGUGGUGCAUGGUUGUCGUCAGCUCGUGUCGUGAGAUGUUGGGUUAAGUCACGCAACGAGCGCAACCCUUGUCUUAUGUUGCCAGCACGUUGUGGUGGGGACUCGUAAGAAACUGCCGGGGUUAACUCGGAGGAAGGUGGGGAUGACGUCAAAUCAUCAUGCCCCUUAUGUCCAGGGCUUCACACAUGCUACAAUGGUCGGUACAGUGGGUUGCCAGUCCGUGAGGGCGAGCUAAUCCCGCAAAGCCGGUCUCAGUUCGGAUCGGGGUCUGCAACUCGACCCCGUGAAGUCGGAGUCGCUAGUAAUCGCAGAUCAGCAACGCUGCGGUGAAUACGUUCCCGGGCCU
rnacentral:rRNA from 1 species